GUGGCAGCAGCCGCGGUAAUACGAAGGGACCUAGCGUAGUUCGGAAUUACUGGGCUUAAAGAACACGUAGGUGGUUAAAAAAGUUGGUGGUGAAAUCCCAGAGCUUAACUCUGGAACUGCCAUCAAAACUUUUUAGCUAGAGUGUGAUAGAGGAAAGUAGAAUUUCUAGUGUAGAGGUGAAAUUCGUAGAUAUUAGAAAGAAUACCAAUUGCGAAGGCAGCUUUCUGGAUCAUUACUGACACUGAGGUGCGAAAGCAUGGGUAGCGAAGAGGAUUAGAUACCCUCGUAGUCCAUGCCGUAAACGAUGUGUGCUAGACGUUGGAAAUUUAUUUUCAGUGUCGCAGCGAAAGCGUUAAGCACACCGCCUGGGGAGUACGACCGCAAGGUUAAAACUCAAAUGAAUUGACGGGAACCCGCACAAGCAGUGGAGCAUGUGGUUUAAUUCGAAGAUACGCGCAGAACCUUACCAACACUUGACAUGUUCGUCGCGACUUUAAGAGAUUAAAGUCUUCGGUUCGGCCGGACGAAACACAGGUGCUGCAUGGCUGUCGUCAGCUCGUGUCGUGAGAUGUUGGGUUAAGUCCCGCAACGAGCGCAACCCUUACUUUUAGUUGCCACCAUUUAGUUGAGCACUCUGAAAGAACUGCCAGUGAUAAGCUGGAGGAAGGUGGGGAUGACGUCAAGUCCUCAUGGCCCUUAUGUGUUGGGCUACACACGUGCUACAAUGGCACUCACAAUAGGAAGCAAAGAGGCGACUCUAAGCAAAUCCUAAAAAAGUGCCUCAGUUCGGAUUGUACUCUGCAACUCGAGUACAUGAAGCUGGAAUUGCUAGUAAUCGCGGAUCAGCGCGCCGCGGUGAAUACGUUCCCGGGUUU
rnacentral:rRNA from 1 species